CGUGGAGCAAGUCUAUGUUAAGGUAUAGGAGUUACGAUCACCUCAGCGCUAUGGCAGACGUAAGUCUAUGUCUAAGUUAUGAGUUACGAUCACCUUAGCGCUACGUCAGUCGUAAGUCUAUGUCUAAGUAUGGGAGUUACGAUCACCUUAGCGCUAUGGCAGUCGUAAGUCUAUGUCUAAGU